rnacentral:rRNA from 1 species
AUUGAACGCUGGCGGCAUGCUUUACACAUGCAAGUCGAACGGCAGCGCGGGCUUCGGCCUGGCGGCGAGUGGCGAACGGGUGAGUAAUGCAUCGGAACGUGCCCAGUAGUGGGGGAUAGCCCGGCGAAAGCCGGAUUAAUACCGCAUACGACCUGAGGGUGAAAGCGGGGGACCGAAAGGCCUCGCGCUAUUGGAGCGGCCGAUGUCGGAUUAGCUAGUUGGUGGGGUAAAGGCUUACCAAGGCGACGAUCCGUAGCUGGUCUGAGAGGACGACCAGCCAAAACUGGACUUGGGAACCGGCCCAGCCUCCAAGGGGAGGAGGAGGGGGGGAAUUUUGGACAAUGGGGGAAACCGUGUUCAAGCAAGGCGGCGUGGGGAAAGAAGGCUUCCGGGUGGUAACCCGCUUUUGUUGGGGAAGAAAUCCUCUGGGCUAAUACCCCGGGGGAAUGACGGUACCGGAAGAAUAGCACCGGCUAACUACGUG